UUGUGGAGGAGGACGCCGAAGGUGGGGCUAAUGACUGGGGUGAAGUCGUAACAAGGUAGCCGUACCGGAAGGUGCGGCUGGAUCACCUCCUAACAGGGAGACAACAAAAUGUUUAAUGUUAUUAUUUUGUCACCUUAGGUCGAUUGGUAUCUCACGUUCUUAAUUUAUUAAGAAUUUCCUUUCCUAAGUUUUUCUAGGUCACACCCAUUAUUUUUCCUGGGCCAUUAGCUCAGGUGGUUAGAGCGCACCCCUGAUAAGGGUGAGGUCCCUGGUUCAAGUCCAGGAUGGCCCAUAUCUCUAUGUUGGGGGUAUAGCUCAGUUGGUAGAGCGCCUGCUUUGCAAGCAGGAUGUCAGCGGUUCGAGUCCGCUUACCUCCACUGAUUACCACCUCUUCCAUAAUCUGUAGAAAGGAAAAAUUUUAGAGUUGUGACCAUAAUUCUGAACGAAUCUAGCUUCCUAAUGAAACCAUUAAGAUGCUGGACUCAUUGAAUUAAUUUCAUUGUUUUCAGAGAACCUUGACAACUGCAUAGAUUAUUUUAAAGACAAUAAGCAUCUUUAAUGAUGCAGAUUUAUUAUUUGUGCAAAUGCAUUAAUAACAAUUCUAUUAAGCUGAUGCUUCAAUUUUGAAGUUAUUGGUCAAGCUACAA
rnacentral:misc_RNA from 1 species